AACGAACGCUGGCGGCAUGCCUAACACAUGCAAGUCGAACGAGACCUUCGGGACUAGUGGCGCUCGGGUGCGUAACGCGUGGGAACCUGCCCUUAGGUUCGGAAUACCUCCCCUUAGGGGGUGCUAAUACCGGAUAAUGUCUUCGGAUCAAAGAUUUAUCGCCUUUGGAUGGGCCCGCGUUGGAUUAGCUAGUUGGUAGGGUAAAAGCCUACCAAGGCGACGAUCCAUAGCUGGUCUGAGAGGAUGGGCAGCCACACUCGGGCUGGGAAACGGCCGAGACUACUAGGCGAGGGAGGAAAGGGUGAUAUAGCAAUAUCGGGGGAAUCCUGAACCAGCAAUGCUGGGAGAGUGAUGAAGGUCGGAAAGAUGUAAAGCUCGUUUACCCGGGGCGGUAAUGACGGUACCGGAAGAAUAAGCACCGGCUAACUCCGUG
rnacentral:rRNA from 1 species